rnacentral:rRNA from 1 species
GAUGAACGCUGGCGGCGUGCCUAAUACAUGCAAGUCGAGCGAACAGACUAGGAUCUUGCUCCUUUGACGUUAGCGGCUGACGGGUGAGUAACACGUGGAUUACCUACCUUUAAGACUUGGUUAACUUCGGGAAACCGGUGCUAAUACCGGCUACCAUCUUCAACCGCAUGGUUCAACAGUGAAAGACGGUCUUGCUGUCACUUAUAGAUGGAUCCGAGCCGCUUUAGUUAGUUGGUAAGGUAACGCCAUACCACGGCAACGAUGCGUAGCCGACCUGAGAGGGUGAUCAGCCACACAGGAACUGAGACACGGUCCAGACGCCAACGGAAGGCAGCAGUAGGGAAUCUUCCGCGAUGAGAGAAAGGCGGACGGGGGAACGCCGCGGAAGUGAAGAAGGUGUUCGGAUCGUAAAACUCGGUUAUUAGGGAAGAACAAAUGUGGAAGUAACUAUGCACGUCUUGACGGUACCUUAUCAGAAAGCCACAGCUAAAUACGUG